rnacentral:rRNA from 1 species
AGAUUGAACGCUGGCGGCAUGCCUAACACAUGCAAGUCGAACGGGAGUAGCAAUACUCUAGUGGCGGACGGGUGAGGAAUACGUAGGAAUUUGCCCUUAAGUAGGGAUAACCCGGGGAAACCCGGAUUAAUACCGCA